ACUCCUACGGGAGGCAGCGGCGAGGAAUAUUGCGCAAUGGACGAAAGUCUGACGCAGCGACGCCGCGUGGAGGAUGAAGGUCUUCGGAUUGUAAACUCCUUUUGCAGGGGAAGAUAAUGACGGUACCCUGCGAAUAAGCCACGGCUAACUCUGUGCCAGCAGCCGCGGUAAU
rnacentral:rRNA from 1 species